rnacentral:misc_RNA from 1 species
UCUCCGUAGGUGAACCUGCGGAGGGAUCAUUACAGAGUUCUCGCCCUUACGGGUAGAUCUCCCACCCACUGUUAUCGUUACUGUCGUUUCUUUGGCGGGCCGCCGGGUCCCUGGCCGCCGGCGCCUAGCUGCCGGCGCGCGCCCGCCAGAGGCCUUCAAACUCUGAAUGUUAGUGUCGUCUGAGUACUGUAUAAUAGUUAAAACUUUCAACAACGGAUCUCUUGGUUCUG